rnacentral:lncRNA from 1 species
AAUAUCAAAUCUUGAUCAAAUCAAAUAUAAAAUAAUAUCAAAUCUUCAUCAAAUCAAAUAUCAAAUCUAUAAGAAUUCAAAAAAAAAAAUAUCAAAUCUAUAAUCUUACACACAAUAGUAAAAGAGUUAGAAUUUAUUUUGAUAUCAACAAUCAAUUUAGAUAUCAAUUGCUAAAUCUUACUUGCACUAUAAAUAUACUUGCCAUGUCCGCAUAUUUAUUCAUAGUCUGAUAAUUCUUUUCAUCAAUUUUGUCAUCAUGGAUGUUCUUGCUUUUGAAAUCUUCUCUCAUUUGCCUGCAAAAUCAGUUCUUAAAUUGAGUAUAAUUUCAAAACAAUGUCAUGAAAAUUUAUCUAGCCAAUUACUUGCAAAUAAACAAUUUAAAAAUCUCCAGGAUAAAGAAGAUUCAUGUUUUUUCAUCCAGUCAAAACAUUGUGAAAAAUCCUCCCCAAUCCCUCUGCAACUUAAGUUUUUGUGUGAGACUUUUAGAUCUUUUUGUGGUUUUCCUCCUGUCUCUCAUGAGUUUUUAUCCAUGACCGGCUCAAUUCUAGCAUCCCACAACGGAUUAUUGUGUUGUAAGAAUAUAUACGAUGCUGAAUAUCCAGUUUUUUUGUGUAAUCCUGUCACAAGAACAUGGUUGCCAAUUAUCAAGCCAACCAUUAACUUCAAUAAUAAUCAUCCCUUUAAUUUUAUUCUUGUUGAUCACAAUCAGGAGGGUGAUUACAUGUUGAUGCAUGUGGGAUCAAGGUCAGAAGAUGUUUGGGAAACUGGUACGCCAGGUUAUGCUCAAUUUACUCGCCUCAGAAUAAAGUAUGGCAAGAGCGUGGAGAGAUGAUGGUUGGUUUGAGGAGUAUUGACUUUGGAUCACCAGCUUAUCUGAAGAAUGAAAAUGGUGGCGGAACAAUUUACUUCAUGUCAGAUUGGAAUAAGUAUUUAACAAAAGAUAGUCCUUUUUAUUGGCCAUACAUUAUGAGUUAUAAUUUUGGGAACUCUAUUUCCAGAUUCCUAAAAAUACCGAGACCUGCAAGAAAGGGUGUUUUGGAUGAUAAUUGCAAGUUUGGUGUAUUCAAAUUCAGGGAUCCGGAAUGUGGUACAGAAUCUAUAUGCUUGAUCAGAUUAAUGAAACUUGUGUUUAGCGUAUGGGUUUUGACGGAUGUUGAUUUGAACACAUGGAGGAUGAUUAUGAAGGCACGAUCAAAGGCUAUGGGAUUGUAUGAAGAUUCGAGGCCAACGAUAUCAGGCUUUACUGUCAUGAAUGGAAAUUUGUUGGUGAUAGCAACAAGUGACAAUCAACUUUUCACAUAUACCUUGACUCGUGAUCUAACAACGAGUAGUAAUGUGAAAAGAGCUGCUAAGAUUGGCUCUCAUGAUCAAUGUGGAAGGGAGGACGUGUGCUUUUAUUCAUAUUCCAACACUCUUAGACCAUGCGGACAUGGUGAACUUCCAUUGCCGCUGCAGUAAACAAUGCAAUCGAAUAGCGGCGUGUCUAGGAGUUUUUUUUGUUUGUUUGCUUUGGAUGGUUCUCUUGAUAUUCUGUAUCUGUAAUCUCUAUGCUCAAGUUUUAUUUAACUCACAAUUUGGUGUUUGCAAUUUUGAUACGGGUAAAAUAUAUAUAGAAAAGCUAACCUUUAAAUUAGAGAAUCUCUUAAUCAAUAUAUUUUCUUAUAAAAAAAAAAACUUAGAAGGGUGUAUUGGCUUGGGAUUUUAAAGCAUUUUUUUGCAUUCAUGAAAUCCGAGGGUAUUCGAUUGGGAUUGUUUGAAAUCCAUUAAAAUCUUGAGGUAUUCAAUUGAGAUUUUAAAUUAUGCUACAAAAUCUGGUGGUAUUCAAUUGAGAUUUUAAAUUAUGCUUUAAAAUCCGAUGGUAUUCAAUUGGGAUUGUUUAAAAUCUAUUAAAAUCUGAUGGUAUUCAAAUGCUGAUGGAUUUUUUUCCAUUUAAAAUGAUGGAUUUUGUGGCAUUGUUCAGUGUAUUUUAAGUUUAUUGAAAUUCCACCAAAUUCAAUGGGAUUUUAAAGCAUUGUACCUAAAUCCUAUCAACUCUGCUAAAUUUCAUCAAGAAUCCGCACAAAAUCAAAAUCCCAUACAAUCCAUUAAAAUCCAUAGACUAAAAACAAUGCAUUAAAAUCUCAAUCAAAUACACCCCCGUCAGAACAUCUCCAAGAGCCUCUUAGUUGUCUACUAAAUAUAAUCAAUCAAUACCCUUUAUUAAUAAGCGAAACCAUGUUUUGGUGGGAUAUCAUACCAGAGUACCAAAAUUUGGUCAUCAUAUAUUAUAUUUAAUUAUUAUUAUAUCAUUAUUAAACUCCUAUUAAAAGUAUUGUACUUCUAUUAGAAGAUAUAAGACAUAUAUAUUGAUCAAGACUUUUUCACAUAACGAUUAUUCAUGAUAUAGAAUUCUAUCCCAAUAUAUAACUAAAUAUUUUAAUUUUAAAACCGAAACAAUUUAACUCAGAAAUUAACUCUAUAAAAUCCUUAUCACAUAAAUAUGAAUUCUCUAUAAAAAUUUUAUCAAAUAAAUAUAGGGAGUCAACAGAUCUUUUGUACGGAUCUGAGAACAUAAAAUAAAUUAAAUAUUUAAAUAAUGAAUUUUAUUUAUAAAACAUAUUUAAGUUAUUUAACUUAAAAAUUCCUUUAGACUUCGUUUGUCAAACAACUACAACUCUUACGUCUAAAAGAAUUCCAACCAAAAUUAGAAUUACCUAAUCUAACUCUAAAACAAUUACGGAUUAAAUAUACGUAACACAUAUCUAUUAUAACUCUAAAUUAAUUACAAAUUAUAGAUUUAUCGAACUAUUUAACAUGGGAAUUAACCAUAUAAAGUUUCUAUCAAUUAAAUAGGAAUCAACUCAAUAAAAUUCAUAUCAAAUAAAUACAAGGAGUCGGCGGAGUUUUUGUGUGGAUAUGAGAAUAUAGAAUAAAAGGCUACGGGAUUGUAUGAAGAUUUGAGGUCAACUAUAUCAGGCUUUACGGUCAUGAAUGGAAAUUUGUUGGUGAUAGCAACAAGUGACAAUCAACUUUUCACAUAUACCUUGACUCAUGAUCUAACAACGAGUGGUAAUGUGAAAAUGUCUUAAUACAUUUUCUUAUGAAAAGAUACUUGCUCUGUGACAGCCUAGGAAUCCGGGGGUCUGGAUUUGGUGCCACUAAAAGAAAAUCAUUUAAAAACCUGUAUUUGCGAAAGAAGGUAAAACAUAUAAUUAAAAAUCUGGAAGGUUUUAAAAGAGAUUUAAAUCAAAAUCACUUUGACCCCCUAAAAACAGGAUCGCUAAUAGGUUACAGCAUCGAAAUCAGAAACCAAAACCUUAAAAUCUCAUUACAACUUAAACUACAUUACCAGUUAAAUUUCGAUAAGAAGAGUAACUGAUAACCAAAUAGAUAAUUCUAGUCACAACUGAACUGAAAUAAAAUAAUUCUAACCGUAAUUAGUCUCGUAGACAUCUACCUGACAAUCUCGCUUAGCAUCAAUCUUACGCACAGCUUACACAGGUGAAUCAUCUUAAACCCUAGCUGAAAGGAUUAGAAAUAAUAGAAAGGGUGAGCGAAAAUGUUCAGCAAGAAAACUUUAAAGGGAUAAUCAGGUAAAUCCAUAAUAUGCAGGAAUUUCAAAUCCAAUAGAUAAUGGAUUUCAAUUUAAAACAUUGAUAAUGCGAUUCCAAAUUGGAGAGAGAAUUUGUAUCAUGAGAAAACAUUUAGAAUUAAAUAAAUGAUUCACCUCAAAAUCUUUCAAACCAUACUGAUUCGCAUUAUAGCAAAUCUCAUAAAAUAAUGCCUUUGCAAGAACUUCAAAAAUUUAAUCAUUUGAGAAGUUCAAAAUAACUUUUGAUAAUCAACUGUUCAUAAACCACAGUUCAAGAAAUUCUUAAAUAUUCAGUGUCCAUCAUUGUCGACUAAAUUUCCAUAUAUUUAGUUGCUAAACCAGCAUGACAAUGAUGAGUUGAAUAAUUAAGAAGACCUCAACUCAUUCUUAGCUCUAACUAUCACUGAGCAACAAAUGCUUCAGCGUCACGCUAUGCUAUAGCCGAUGAUCAGUCGCGAGAUAGCACCGGAUCAUGCACGAAGCAUGUCACCAAAUUUUAAGGGAUCCAAGGCACACAUUGGCCUAAAUUGUAACUGGACAGUCGGUCCCCGAGGGUACUUCCAAUCACAAAAUAAGCGAGGUAUCGAAAAAUCGACAACCUUGUUUUAUAUCAAAACCAUGAUAAUAACAGUUAAAUUAACGGUUCAGCAUUUCUAAAACAUUUAAAUAAAAGUUCUUUUCAGGGGGAAACAUUUAUAUAAAACAACAGUUGAUAAAAUAUUGUAGACAUGAUGUGAGUGUACUUAUUGUGUACACAUGUCCAACAUAAUGAUGCAAGUAAAAUAGCUUUCAUGCUCGAAAUUGUGUAAGGUAGUUCAGGUAACUAAUAUACUCGUAAAAAGUACAUGUUCAAAUAUAUGAGAGAGAACAAUUGAAAAUCUUUAAUCAAAUAAUUUCAAAGCUUAAUCAGCUUAUCUUUUUAAAAUGCUGAAAACAACUAUAAUUUUAUAAAGACAUUCAAAAGAUCAUGAAUGCUUAUGUGCAAUAGCAGAAAAUGUUUAUUGAGUGACGAAAAUAAAACGUAAUUGGUUAUAAAAAGAUGUAGAGCAAAAUACUUGAAGUAGUUACAAUAGAAAAAUAAUAACAUUGUAUUUUUAAAUAUAGGAUAUGCACUACUGGUUACCAUAACAAAAUAUGAAUAUGAAUGAUCCUCUUUAAAUAGAAGUGACCAAAAAUUUUCUUGCAAUAAAUACAAGUCAUAAUUAGAAAACUUGCCUCUGACAACAAAACUAGUGACAUCACAGUCACGCUACUCGAAAACUUUAGAUUGCCUUGGCAUCUAGCAUCUGGCUCAACACAACACGACUACGCAAUUCAACUACUUCUGAUCGUCAUUGAUAAAUCAUCUUGGUCGACUACAUACAACAAUAAAAUAAUACUUUAGUUGACGAACAAACCAGAUUGUCGUCUAAAUCAAGAAGUCGAACCGAAAUCUAAUUCUACCCUUCGUGGUAUAUAAAUAUUUUUAACUAUUAUGUACACAUAAUAUUCAUAAUUUAAACACGUAAUCACAUUGUCACGUAUCACGAGAUUGACAUGCUUUAUUAUUUAUAAAUAAUCAUAACCGAUAAUCCAAGAAUCUGUCCAAAUCUUAAUCAGAAUCUGAAUUAUAAUCAAAAUUCGGUUCUCAAUUUAAAUCCAAUUCUUAAUAAUAGACUAAAAUUCGGACAACACCUCUAUCAUUUUAGAGCAAUCCCGACAAUUAAUCAAUCAACAUAAUAUAUAAUUACAACAAUCAAAUUCUCGUGUCUAAUCUGCCAGAUUUUAUAACUAAACAUGUUAUUCAACACUAAUAAGCGGAUAUAGUAAUUGAAAACAAAGGUUUAUAAUUAAUAACCACCUUGUAUUAUAAUUAUAAUAAUGAUAAUACACCUUGCAAUUAAAUAGAGCAAUCAAAAUUAUAUAUUAAUUUCAUUGGGAUAAGUUUUAUGGAGACCACUUUUUCAUCAGAGACUUGGAGACCACUUAUGUACUGAAACUAAAAUACUCCAUAAAAAUAUUGCAAAACGUAUUAUUUUUCGAAUCAUGUUCUACAAAUAUCAUUAUUUUAUUAACAAUCUUGCAAAUUGUAUACAUUUGGCAAAUAAAACAUUAAAAAACAUAUUAUUUUACAAAACCAUGUUUAGUGUACAGAACAUUUGUUGAUCUUGCGGAACAUACAUGUUCUGCUUGUUUAGCACAAAUAAUUUUCAACAUUUUCAAUGAAAUAGUGAUAUUUAUAGAAUGUACUUCGCAAAACAAUAAAUUUUGUAGUGUUUUAAUUGGAGAAUAUAAGUGGUCUCCAAGGUCUCCGAUAAAAUAGUGAUCUCCAAAAAACUUUUCUCUAAUUUCAUUAAUAUUAUUGAUAUUAUUGUUAUCAUUUAUUAACAACAACAAUAAUAAAAAUAAUAAAACAAAAUUAAUAUUUGUUUUUGUCUUUCACCCCUCCAACCAAUCGCGCAUCAGCCAACAAAACUCACCCACUUCCUCCGUUCACCUCCAACAGCGGCGGUGACGCAGCCUGCCACCACGACCUCACCGCUGCAACCCUCAUCUUGGGGUUAAUCGCCGCUGCUCCUUAAACACCACCAGCCAUCUUCUCCUCCAGUGUCAGCCGCGUCGCCGCUUCGACGUCCAGCCGCGGCGGCGGCUCCUCGGUUCGCGGCAUCACCGCCUCACCACCACCAUCACCACAGGUACUCCCUCUCUUCAUCCCUCUGCUUAUCAACCACCCGCCCCCACAUCUCCGAUCUCAACAACACAACAAUCAUUGUAUACAAGUACAUAUAUAAACGUACACACAACCCAUUUAUCAAAACGUUACCUGCGUGAAUCAAUCGGAUUGAAUGGAUAAGGACUCAAAACCCUAGCACCCACCCCUGUUUUCCCCAAUUUCUUUCUCACGCUGCCGCCUGUUGUUGCUAUUGUGUUUCAUUUUAUAAAAAAAUACUUCAUCCAUUUCAAAAUACAUUUUUACUUUAGGAAAAAAAAAUUGUUUCAAAAUACUUGUCUAAUCCAACUUUAUGUAAAGUUAUACAAUUUAUAUUUCCAAAACCAACCAUAUACCACACAUUAGAUUCAAUUAAUGAUUUAUUACACUUUAUUUUUCAAAAUCUAUUUUUCUUAAACGAUUUUUUAAAAAUGCGCAUGUAAUUUGAAACGGAGGGAGUAAAAUCUAAUUUGAAACGGAGGGAGUAAAAUCUAAGUAUAUAUCUGAUUUAAGGCGACCAGUUGUACACACCAAUCUUACGCAACUGCUUAUAUUAUUCUAAAUAAAAUCCACCCCAAUAAUUUGAAAGAAGAUAAUUUUAGCUUAUAUUAUUCUAGAUAAAAUCCACCCCAAUAAUUUGAAAGAAGAUAAUUUUAACAUUAAUAUAAAUAUGGGGCUCAAAAAUGUUUUCGAAACAUCUAACUAAAAUAUCCGAAACUCCCAAAUUUUCUAAGUGCAAUAAAUCCGUGAAAUGUUUUAUUUUUAAAAGUUAUUAAAUAUUUAAUUUAAAUUGUCC